CCUACGGGCGGCUGCAGUGGGGAAUAUUGGACAAUGGGGGGAACCCUGAUCCAGCCAUGCCGCGUGUGUGAAGAAGGCCCUCGGGUUGUAAAGCACUUUCAGUGAGGAAGAACGCCUGGUGGUUAAUACCCAUCAGGAAAGACAUCACUCACAGAAGAAGCACCGGCUAACUCCGUGCCAGCAGCCGCGGUAAUACGGAGGGUGCGAGCGUUAAUCGGAAUUACUGGGCGUAAAGCGCGCGUAGGUGGCUUGAUAAGCCGGUUGUGAAAGCCCCGGGCUCAACCUGGGAACGGCAUCCGGAACUGCCAAGCUAGAGUGCAGGAGAGGAAGGUAGAAUUCCCGGUGUAGCGGUGAAAUGCGUAGAGAUCGGGAGGAAUACCAGUGGCGAAGGCGGCCUUCUGGACUGACACUGACACUGAGGUGCGAAAGCGUGGGUAGCAAACAGGAUUAGAUACCCGGGUAGUC
rnacentral:rRNA from 1 species